AUACGGAGGCGGCUAGCGUUGUUCGGAAUCACUGGGCGUAAAGCGCUCGUAGGCGGAUCAGUCAGUCAGAGGUGAAAUCCCAAGGCUCAACCUUGGAACUGCCUUUGAUACUGCUGGUCUUGAGGUCGAGAGAGGUAAGUGGAAUUCCUAGUGUAGAGGUGAAAUUCGUAGAUAUUAGGAAGAACACCAGUGGCGAAGGCGGCUUACUGGCUCGAUACUGACGCUGAGGUGCGAAAGCGUGGGGAGCAAACAGGAUUAGAAACCCGGGUAGUCC
rnacentral:rRNA from 1 species